GGUUGUUUAGUUUAAAAAAACAUUUAUCUUGAAAAUAAAAAUUAAAUACAACCU
rnacentral:tRNA from 1 species